UAGUGAUUUUAAUCGCUGUCAGGUAUCUUUAUACUUGACCCAACUAUGCCACGUCCAUACUGUGCUGCGACCCCACUGUGCUACUGAAUUAUUACUUUAAAAAUACUAUUAUAAAAACAUAGUGUAUAAUAAGACUAUGUGUAAACGAAUAAUUAUUUUAAUAAUUUUUGUUUAUUUAUAAUGUGGGAUCAUCUUUUUGAUAUCAGGUAAUUUUAAAUGAAUAGCGGGACUUGUUCUGGUAACGCCCUUAAAAUAAAUACAGAUAUGUUACACUAUAGUGUAUACGAUGCAUUCACCUAAUUGCCAUUUUGCCAACUCGCCAUUUUUCAUAGCCAUUCAUAGCCAGUCACCACGAACACCACCGCCACUCCACAGCCACGGUCAAUGUCACGACCAUUACCAUGACUUUUGUCACACUAUUUUGAGCCACAGUCCCUUUUAAUAGAACAUCCAAACCACGACUUCUUCGUAUAAUUUCGUAUGUAGCAACUUGAUCACCGAGAAAUCAAAUUAUCACGAUUCGUGCAUAUUUAUGUUCUAUCCGUCCUUUGUUGUCGACCAUUGGCAACUAUACAGUGAGUCUCAAUGCAUCAUUGUUAGAAAAUAUGACAGGUCAAAAUGAGCCGUCAGACUUGAAAAGGAAAAAUUAUGAGACAUCGGAGAUCAAAAUUAUUAAAAGAAGAAAAAUGUGUCACAGUCCUAUUCGUCAUGAUCAAAUGGUUGACAAUAUUGACACGGUUAUUCAUAACGGCCAUCAUUAUAAUGUACAACAGGUUUAUGAUGCCAAAACGAAUCCAUUCCUGCAACGAAUUAAAAGAGAGAUAUGUAUGGCGAGUGGGACUAUUAUAAUACAAAUUCCAUGAGAACAAAUCUCAGUCAUGUUAAUGAUUUCAAUAUUAUGUGUAUAUUAUUUUGUCUUAUUUUUCAUUUGUUAAUAAUUUCAUAUACAUUUUGUUUACGUUAUCAACUUUUUUUUUGGCAACUUUUCGUA